UACGUAGGUGGCGAGCGUUGUCCGGAUUUACUGGGUGUAAAGGGCGUGUAGGCGGGAUAGCAAGUCAGAUGUGAAAUACCAAGGCUUAACUUUGGGGGUGCAUUUGAAACUGUUAUUCUUGAGUGUCGGAGAGGGAAGCGGAAUUCCUAGUGUAGCGGUGAAAUGCGUAGAUAUUAGGAGGAACACCAGUGGCGAAGGCGGCUUUCUGGACGAUAACUGACGCUGAGGCGCGAAAGCGUGGGGAGCGAACAGGAUUAGAUACCCUGGUAGUCCACGCCGUAAACGAUGGAUACUAGGUGUAGGGGGUAUCGACCCCCCCUGUGCCGGAGUUAACACAAUAAGUAUCCCACCUGGGGAGUACGACCGCAAGGUUGAAACUCAAAGGAAUUGACGGGGGCCCGCACAAGCAGUGGAGUAUGUGGUUUAAUUCGAAGCAACGCGAAGAACCUUACCAGGGCUUGACAUCUGCCGAAUCCCAAGAGAUUGGGAGUGCCUUUUAGGAACGGCAAGACAGGUGGUGCAUGGUU
rnacentral:rRNA from 1 species